rnacentral:tRNA from 1 species
GGGGCACAGCUCAGUUGGUAGAGCACCUGCUUUGCAAGCAGGGGUCAUCGGUUCGAUCCCGUUUGCUCCACCA